rnacentral:rRNA from 1 species
GAUGAACGCUGGCGGCGUGCCUAAUACAUGUAAGUCGAGCGAAUGGAUUAAGAGCUUGCUCUUAUGAAGUUAGCGGCGGACGGGUGAGUAACACGUGGGUAACCUGCCCAUAAGACUGGGAUAACUCCGGGAAACAGGGGCUAAUACCGGAUAACAUUUUGAACCGCAUGGUUCGAAAUUGAAAGGCGGCUUCGGCUGUCACUUAUGGAUGGACCCGCGUCGCAUUAGCUAGUUGUUGAGGUAACGGCUCAACAAGGCAACGAUGCGUAGCCGAACUGAGAGGGUGAUCGGCCACACUGGGACUGAGACACGGCCCAGACUCCUACGGGAGGCAGCAGUAGGGAAUCUUCCGCAAUGGACGAAAGUCUGACGGAGCAACGCCGCGUGAGUGAUGAAGGCUUUCGGGUCGUAAAACUCUGUUGUUAGGGAAGAACAAGUGCUAGUUGAAUAAGCUGGCACCUUGACGGUACCUAACCAGAAAGCCACGGCUAACUACGUGCCAGCAGCCGCCGUAA